UGCUCAAUCCAGCAGCACUUAUAUAAAACUGAAAUGGUUUAGAGAAGAUUAAAAUGAACCCUGUGCAAGGAUAACAUGCAAAUUUGUCAUUGUUCUGAUUUUUUU